AAAUGGGGCAACUUGGGGACAGUCAUGGUCAAGGUCAGUGUAUUCCUAAUAAGGAUGCCCUGACUGGCUCAUUAAAGGUCUUCACUGUUUUCAGAGAAGAUCUCCCCCUCCUUGAAUAGGUCUGGAAAACAGAGUUGAAAAUAUGUCUCCCGGUAGACUAUCAAUGGCAGCGGACUACCUUGACCUGAAAUGAACUAUGCCUUUCUGCAACAUCUUCUAUAAACAAACUGAGACCAGAGACUCUUAUCUGUGUAUCCUUCAUGGUCUCCGGAGCACUGUGGGCACAGGGCCCCUGUUAAUGAACAGAUGACCAGGAGGAUUUAGAUGGCCUUCAUGACCUUGGCAGUGAUUCUCAAGUUUCUGGAUCCAGUGUCUGAUGCCCCACCCAGGAUUCCUUUUCUUCAUUUGAAAAACAGAGAGACCAAACUGAAGGACUUCCAAGGUCCCUCCAGCUUUAGGAUCUCACCAUUCCAUAAAGCUAACUGACCAUGAAGUUGCAGAGCAUGUGGCAGUGAUUUUCCCAGAAGGUCAAAGUCCUUCCAGCAAUUUGUUUUGUAGGAGUAGCACUGACAUUUAUGUGUGUAACAAAGAAUGGUGGGUGUAAACUACAUUAAAUAGAAAUAAUUGAAUCCCCAUACCCAGUUAAUAUACAAGAUUCUUUCCAAUCAGGCAGCCACAGAUCUUUUUUCUUGAAGAAUGGAAAAAACCAAGCACGAUUCUUCAUUAAGACAUAAUCAACCAUCGCAGGGAAAAGAUUAAAUUUGACAUUAUAAAUAUUUGGUCUUUAAA